UAGGGAAUCUUCGGCAAUGGACGAAAGUCUGACCGAGCAACGCCGCGUGAGUGAAGAAGGUUUUCGGAUCGUAAAACUCUGUUGGUAGAGAAGAACGUUGGUGAGAGUGGAAAGCUCAUCAAGUGACGGUAACUACCCAGAAAGGGACGGUAACUACCCAGAAAGGGACGGCUAACUACGUGCC
rnacentral:rRNA from 1 species